rnacentral:miRNA from 1 species
GGAAGAUUGCUUGAGGCUUGGUGGUCAAGUCUGCAGUGAGCUGUGAUCACACCACUGCACUCCAGCCUGAGUGACAGAGCAAGAACCUGUCUC